UACGUAGGGUGCAAGCGUUGUCCGGAAUUAUUGGGCGUAAAGAGCUCGUAGGCGGUUUGUCACGUCGGCUGUGAAAACCUGGGGCUCAACCCCGGGCCUGCAGCCGAUACGGGCAAGCUAGAGUUCGGCAGGGGAGACUGGAAUUCCUGGUGUAGCGGUGAAAUGCGCAGAUAUCAGGAGGAACACCGGUGGCGAAGGCGGUGGUCUGGGCCGGUACUGACGCUGAGGAGCGAAAGCGUGGGGAGCGAACAGG
rnacentral:rRNA from 1 species